rnacentral:rRNA from 1 species
UUUCUAUCCGCCUGGGGACUACGAGCAUAAGCUUAAAACCCAAAGGACUUGGCKGUGCUUUAGAUCCACCUAGAGGAGCCUGUUCUAGAACCGAUAACCCCCGUUAAACCUCACCUUUUCUUGUUCUACCCGCCUAUAUACCACCGUCGUCAGCUUAUCCUGUGAAGGACUAUUAAUAAACAGAAUUGGCACAGCCCAAAACGUCAGGUCGAGGUGUAGCGUACGAAAAGGGAAGAAAUGGGCUACAUUCUCUAUCUAGAGAACACGAAUGAUAAACUGAAAAACGUAUCUGAAGGAG